rnacentral:lncRNA from 1 species
GAGAAUUCUGGGGGCCGUGGGGCCGCCCAGCUCAGUCCGGAGCUCCGGAACUCGGGGAAGAGCGUCCGGGAGCCGGGUCUGGGUUCCGCACUCCGUCCGCCCCGAUGGCAGAGAGUGAGAUACGGACGCCCCGGGACGAGGGGCUCAGGACCCGGCUACGGACACCUGCCUCCAUCUCCCUCCAGAUAACACAAGUGUGAAGAGAGGGGAGAGCAGCAAAGGCUGAGCUGCGUGUGCCUGGUCCCUUCCAGACUUUCCAGAUAACUUUGCCCCACGGAGGACAAGGAAAGCCAAAAGAGAGAAGCCAGGAUUGUUAGUCUUGGAAAAUGCCUCCAUAUAGAAACAUGAGCCGGAGAAUAAAUCACUUGCCUCUCUAACCAGUUGGAUUUGGUCCGUGAGUUCCUAGUUUUGUUCACCUGACUUAGUCCCUGACUUUUAAAGUCAAGUGCAUCAACAUGCUGCCAGUACUUUGAUGAACAUCUAUACAGGAUCCAUCUCUACAGCAGUGAAUUCCACCUGGGGUAAAGUAUGCAUGUAGGUUAGGAUGCUACAGUGGGACUCUGUCUGCUUUUUCUGUCUGUUUCUGCUAAGGCCUCCACACAUUAGAUGGUCAGUACUCUUUGUUCUAUGGGAAGGGCUAGAAUACCUAAACAGGACUUUCACGGAGGGAGCAACAAACCAGUUUUGUGGCUCUCAGCAAACAUCCAUCUCAAAGUUUCUUCCUCAGAUUGACAUUCCUCUUGGUCACCAGAUGCCUACAAUCAGCGGGUGCAACUCUCUGCUCCCUGCUCACUUCUGAAGGGGAGAGCAUGGAUACCAACCACAGAACAAAGCCCUGCAGUCUCCCGCUGAGUAGAACACCCACGAAGAAGUGUUGGCCAUUUCCCUAUUGCCAGGGAAAUAUCAUGUAUUGGUUGGAUUAGGCCUGUAUUAAUCCAGUUAAUGGAACAUAGUUAAACUAUCCCAGACCCUCCAUAGACACUAGAGAAAAGGUGAAUCCAACCCAAAUGUAAGACUGCUACUCAAUAGGACAGAAAAGGCAUGGAUGUCAGUGAAAUGGGAAAAAAAAUGUGUGCCAAAGGAGAUCAGGAAGGACUGAAUAGAAGACAUGGCCUUUGAAUUGAAGCCUUUAAUGAGGAAAGGGGAUUGACAUUGUAUGAGGGCCAGGGUGGAGAGCGGGUUGUGAAGAGGAUAGGGAAAAUGCAAGGACACUGCGGAUAUAAGAAUUAAUGGGAGAAUCAUGGGCCACAAAGCAGCAGGAUUAUAUUACAGAGAUUGUAAGUAGUGUUUAUUGAAGCACAGGGUACUGGGGAGGUGGAGGAAAGAUGAAACUGUUAAGGAAUUUAGACACAGCAUGUAGUGGUUGGCAGGAAACAGAUGACACUCUCAAACAGGGUAGUUGAGGAGAGCUAAUAAAGGGACCAUUUACCAAGGUGUAGUUAGGAUUAAGAGAAAGCAAACUGGGAUGGUGCUGUGCUAUGGGCUAGCAACAGCAGGAAGUCAUUUCUGUCCCUAGGUCUGAAGAGGGAAGCAGGGGAGCCAACACCAAGGAACCAGAGAUCUUAGAGUCUGAAAGUCUGCAUGAUAGAAGCCAUGGCCUUUAGUAGAGGGAUCUUGCCUACUCUUAGCAGCCUGGCUUGGAGGGGCCUGGGGAAAUAAUACCCCAACCUCUCUCCUCUUCUUCAAUAUUGAUGACUUCCAUUGGUUAAUAUCAAACUGGAAGUUGGAGAGAAAGGGAGUCUAUCUAUACAAGUCAGCACCCUGUAGCCCAGAAGAGAGUAAAAAGGGGGUAAAAAGCAAUUUCCGAGGGACAAACAGAAAACACCCAGCACAGAAGGAGGAACAAACAUUUGGAGGAACAAACAGAAAAUAUCAGAAAACAUUUUAAUCCUGGGUCCUGGGACGUCAUGGAAGGUUUUGAAGUUAGGAGCACCGCCAUCCUCUAGGGGGAGCUCAAGCAUUUCUCUCCACUCAUCCCAAAGGCGGUGCAUCAAAAGAUCAGGGUGAAACUGACUUCAAGGAAAGAGCCCUCGGCUAGAGGAAGAAGCCUGGAGAAGUAAAGGGAUUGCUCCUGGAAUUGGAAAUCUACCCUUUGCACUUCUAUUUACUGCAUUUGGAUUGAUUUGCAAGAAUAACCAU